rnacentral:rRNA from 1 species
AGUGAACGCUGGCGGUAGGCCUAACACAUGCAAGUCGAACGGCAGCACAGUAAGAGCUUGCUCUUACGGGUGGCGAGUGGCGGACGGGUGAGGAAUACGUCGGAAUCUACUUUUUCGUGGGGGAUAACGUAGGGAAACUUACGCUAAUACCGCAUACGACCUACGGGUGAAAGCAGGGGAUCUUCGGACCUUGCGCGAUUGAAUGAGCCGAUGUCGGAUUAGCUAGUUGGCGGGGUAAAGGCCCACCAAGGCGACGAUCCGUAGCUGGUCUGAGAGGAUGAUCAGCCACACUGGAACUGAGACACGGUCCAGACUCCUACGGGAGGCAGCAGUGGGGAAUAUUGGACAAUGGACGCAAGCCUGAUCCAGCCAUACCGCGUGGGUGAAGAAGGCCUUCGGGUUGUAAAGCCCUUUUGUUGGGAAAGAAAAGCAGCAGGUUAAUACCCCGCUGUUCUGACGGUACCCAAAGAAUAAGCACCGGCUAACUUCGUG